UACAGAGGUCUCAAGCGUUGUUCGGAUUCAUUGGGCGUAAAGGGUGUGUAGGUGGCGCGCUAAGUCGGGUGUGAAAUUUCGGAGCUUAACUCCGAAACUGCAUUCGAUACUGGCGUGCUUGAGGACUGGAGAGGAGACUGGAAUUACGGUGUAGCAGUGAAAUGCGUAGAUAUCGUAAGGAAGACCAGUGGCGAAGGCGGGUCUCUGGACAGUUCCUGACACUGAGGCACGGAAGGCCAGGGGAGCAAACGGG
rnacentral:rRNA from 1 species